rnacentral:lncRNA from 1 species
CUUCUGAGCCUCGUCUGUAAAAUAUCGAUGAUAAUGCUCUCACCAACACCACAGGGUGGUUAUAAAGAUUAGAAAUACUCUGUGGCUGGCAUACAGUAGGUGAACAAUAAACCAUAUCUCAAGAUCCCCAAAAGGGGGUCACAGAGGCAGUUUGGAGAUUAGACAUUGAUUCUUGUUUGAUGCUUUAAUAAAUAUUUGAAAUUCGUUUCAUACUUCACACUUACAGUAGACAAAAGGUUAUAGAAAAUGAAGGUUAUAAAAAAUGCAUACUGAUGGAAACUUUUUGGUAUUUUUUAAUCGAUGUAUCAUGGUUGUAAAUAUUUUGGGGGGAUGAUAGAAACAUUUCAAUACCCAGCAAAAUUGUAAGAAAGCAGACUGAACAACCUUUAAGGAUGAAAACCUUAAAAACACGAAAUGCCAUUUGCCCCAGCAUCUAUUUAACCUAAGAAAAUAAUAUUGGGUGGUAGCAAGAUUUAGAAAAACAAAGGAAGUCAUCAUUGCUUUAUAAGAGCAAAAGUGGAAACCACAAAUUUAUUAAAUGCACAGGUUUAAAAGUGUACAGUCUCUCCAUCAAAUUGAACACUAUGUAGUCAUUAAAAUAAAAAUUCUUCCAUGCAGAAAAAUAUUCUACAUGGAAAGAUAAUCACAACACAGCAGGCAAAAAUCACAAGAGACAAAACAGCCUGGCUGGGCGUAGUGGCUCAUGCCUGUAAUCCCAGCACUUUGGGGGGCCGAGACGGGCGGAUCACGAGGUCAGGAGAUUGAGACCAUCCUGGCUAACACGGUGAAACCCCGUCUCUACUAAAAAUACAAAAAAAUUGGCGGGGCGUGGUGGCGGGCGCCUGUAGUCCCAGCUACUCGGGGGGGGCUGAGGCAGGAGACUGGCAUGAACCCGGGAGGCGGAGCUUGCAGCCUGGGUCAGACAGCAGGACUCCGUCUCAAAAAAACAAAACAAAACAAAACAAAACAAAACAGCCGAUUUCACUUUUGUUUAAAAACACACCCAAGGCCAGGUAUGACAGCUCAUACGUGUAAUCCCAGUGCUUUGGGAGGCCACCAUGGGAGGACUGCUUGAGGCUGGAAGUUCCAGACCGGCCCGGGCAACAUAGUGAGACUUCAUCUCUACAAAAAAAUUUUUUCUUUUUCUUUUCUUUUUUUUUUUUUUUUUUGAGAUGGUGUCUUGCUCUGUCACCCAGGCUGGAGUGCAGUGGCACGAUCUCGGCUCACUGCAACCUCCGCCUCCUGGGUUCAAGCCGUUCUCCUGCCCUCCUGCCUCAG